UUUAGUGGCGCACGGGUGCGUAACGCGUGGGAAUCUGCCCUUUGGUUCGGAAUAACAGCUGGAAACGGCUGCUAAUACCGGAUGAUGACGAAAGUCCAAAGAUUUAUCGCCAGAGGAUGAGCCCGCGUUGGAUUAGGUAGUUGGUGGGGUAAAGGCCUACCAAGCCGACGAUCCAUAGCUGGUCUGAGAGGAUGAUCAGCCACACUGGGACUGAGACACGGCCCAGACUCCUACGGGAGGCAGCAGUGGGGAAUAUUGGACAAUGGGCGAAAGCCUGAUCCAGCAAUGCCGCGUGAGUGAUGAAGGCCCUAGGGUUGUAAAGCUCUUUUACCCGGGAAGAUAAUGACUGUACCGGGAGAAUAAGCCCCGGCUAACUCCGUGCCAGCAGCCGCGGUAAUACGGAGGGGGCUAGCGUUGUUCGGAAUUACUGGGCGUAAAGCGCACGUAGGCGGCUUUGUAAGUCAGAGGUGAAAGCCUGGAGCUCAACUCCAGAACUGCCUUUGAGACUGCAUCGCUUGAAUCCAGGAGAGGUCAGUGGAAUUCCGAGUGUAGAGGUGAAAUUCGUAGAUAUUCGGAAGAACACCAGUGGCGAAGGCGGCUGACUGGACUGGUAUUGACGCUGAGGUGCG
rnacentral:rRNA from 1 species